GGCACGCCUAACACAUGCAAGUCGAACGAAGUAGCAAUACUUAGUGGCAGACGGGUGAGUAACAUGUGGGUAUCUUCCCUUUGGCCUGGAAUAACACGAGGAAACUUGUGCUAAUACCGGAUAAGUCUUUACGGAGAAAGCUUUAUGCACCAUUGGAUGAGCCCGCACUUGAUUAGUUUGUUGGUGGGGUAAUGGCCUACCAAGACUGUGAUCAAUAGCUGAUUUGAGAGGAUGAUCAGCCACAUUGGGACUGAGACACGGCCCAAACUCCUACGGGAGGCAGCAGUGGGGAAUCUUGCACAAUGGAGGAAACUCUGAUGCAGCGAUGCCGCGUGAGUGAAGAAGGCCCUUGGGUUGUAAAGCUCUUUCGUCGGGGAAGAAAAUGACUGUACCCGAAUAAGAAGGUCCGGCUAACUUCGUGCCAGCAGCCGCGGUAAUACGAAGGGACCUAGCGUAGUUCGGAAUUACUGGGCUUAAAGAGUUCGUAGGUGGUUGAAAAAGUUGGUGGUGAAAUCC
rnacentral:rRNA from 1 species